GGCAUUAAGGUGGGUGGAAUAUUAUAACAAUAUCCCCCCCAUGUUGUUAUAGUAUUCCACCUACCCUGAUGUC
rfam:Poecilia formosa, whole genome shotgun sequence.